CCUACGGGUGGCAGCAGUGGGGGAUAUUGCACAAUGGGGGGAACCCUGAUGCAGCGACGCCGCGUGGGUGAAGAAGCGCCUCGGCGCGUAAAGCCCUGUCAGCAGGGGAGAAAAUGACGGUACCUGCAGAAGAAGCCCCGGCUAACUACGUGCCAGCAGCCGCGGUAAUACGUAGGGGGCAAGCGUUAUCCGGAUUUACUGGGUGUAAAGGGGGCGCAGGCGGCGAUGCAAGCCAGGAGUGAAAGCCCGGGGCCCAACCCCGGGACUGCGCUUGGAACUGCGUGGCUGGCGGGGAGGAGGGGCAGGCGGAAUUCCUGGUGUAGCGGUGAAAUGCGUAGAUAUCAGGAGGAACACCGGUGGCGAAGGUGGCCUGCUGGACUGCAACUGACGUUGAGGCCCGAAAGCGUGGGGAGCAAACAGGAUUAGAUACCCCGGUAUC
rnacentral:rRNA from 1 species